UCUGCCCUGAAGAAGAGAAUAAUCCCGGGAAACUGGGGGUAAUGCUCUAUAGUCCGGGAGGACUGGAAUGUUCUCCGGAUGAAAGAUCCGUCGCUUCAGGAUGAGUCUGCGGCCGAUUAGGUAGUUGUUGGGGUAAAAGCCCAACAAGCCUGUAAUCGGUACGGGUUGUGGGAGCAAGAGCCCGGAGAUGGAUUCUGAGACACGAAUCCAGGCCUUACGGGGCGCAGCAGGCGCGAAAACUUUACAAUGCGGGCAACCGUGAUAAGGAAACCCCGAGUGCCAGCACAGGCUGGCUGUCCACCAGUGUAAAAAACUGGUGAAGAAAGGGCCGGGCAAGACCGGUGCCAGCCGCCGCGGUAAAUACCGGCGGCUCGAGUGGUGGCCGCUUUUACUGGGCUUAAAGGGUCCGUAGCUUGAUCCAUGGGUCCCUUGAGAAAUCCAUCAGCUUAACUGCUGGGCGUUCAGGGGAAACUGUGGUUCUAGGGACCGGGAGAGGUAAGAGGUACUGCCGGGGUAGGAGUGAAAUCCUGUAAUCCCGGUGGGACCACCUAUAGCGAAGGCAUCUUACCAGAACGGCUCCGACAGUGAGGGACGAAAGCUGGGGGAGCAAACCGGAUUAGAUACCCGGGUAGUCCCAGCUGUAAACGAUGCGCGUUAGGUGUGUCAGUGACCACGUGUCACUGAUGUGCCGAAGGGAAACCGUGAAACGCGCCGCCUGGGGAGUACGGUCGCAAGGCUGAAACUUAA
rnacentral:rRNA from 1 species